rnacentral:rRNA from 1 species
AUGAACGCUGGCGGCGUGCCUAAUACAUGCCCGUCGAGCGAACAGACGAGGAGCUUGCUCCUCUGACGUUAGCGGCGGACGGGUGAGUAACACGUGGAUAACCUACCUAUAAGACUGGGAUAACUUCGGGAAACCGGAGCUAAUACCGGAUAAUAUAUUGAACCGCAUGGUUCAAUAGUGAAAGACGGUUUUGCUGUCACUUAUAGUUGGAUCCGCGCCGCAUUAGCUAGUUGGUAAGGUAACGGCUUACCAAGGCAACGAUGCGUAGCCGACCUGAGAGGGUGAUCGGCCACACUGGAACUGAGACACGGUCCAGACUCCUACGGGAGGCAGCAGUAGGGAAUCUUCCGCAAUGGGCGAAAGCCUGACGGAGCAACGCCGCGUGAGUGAUGAAGGUCUUCGGAUCGUAAAACUCUGUUAUUAGGGAAGAACAAAUGUGUAAGUAACUAUGCACGUCUUGACGGUACCUAAUCAGAAAGCCACGGCUAACUACGUG